ACACUUCACUGAACACUUGGAACUCGAAGUGGGAAGAUGACGCUAUGUCAACGCUUCGCUAUACACUGUUUGGGUCUAUCCAAUGCUGCGGCAUUGGACAUGGACGUUAAGGAACUCAAUCUCCACGGAUCCAAUACGAAAGGACCGAAGAGGCUAAAUUACCUGCCCAGGAUCCUGCCCUAUUAACAAAGCCGAAUAAUGGAAAAGUCAAUUAAGAAACGAAAUUCCCCAACCCUUUACGAACGAAGGACGUAUACAUUAACUGCCCAGUAUACCAUGACGACGUCGAGGUACGCGCAGGUGCAAAACGGUACCAAGAUAGACCACGCGUACCAAAGGAUGCCCCCGGAGGUGUUAGAACAGACAGCCGU